ACCUUUGUCGGUGGCCAGCAUUGGGUAAUUACUGUACCUUAUGACCCAAAACGGCAUCUUAUGUCCCUCCAAGAGAUGCCUUUAUAUGGAGGAUCAGAGAUUAAUUUAGCAUGCUUCAAGUACUCAACACCCUUCUUAUCACCUCUGUUGAAAUGGUUUGAAGCAAUCAAUAUAUUCUGCUGUCUUAUUGUCCUUACAUGUCCCACCCAAGCUUCCAAGUCAUCUUCUCUAUCCCAUCCCUGCUCAGUUCAUGCCUCCAACUAUUAUAGAAGAUCACUUUGUGACACUGAUGAUAAAUAUUUUAGUUUGUGAUUAAUGAGCCUGUAGUUACUAAUGACUUGGAUUGCUGUCCCAAAACUUGAUGAUUUGGGGAAAAGACUUCUGCUGAUUGGAGGUGUCAGUUGUAUUUGUUGUAGGAAUACUGUCACAUAUUAAACUAACAUAUUCUUACUAUGCUGCAACUUGUCAUAUGCAACUAGAUAGGGAAGGAGUUAAAAUGAAAUGGUAUUGGUACUUGUAACUUCAGCGCUAGCAGUACUUCAGAACAUAUAUAGGGACAUUUUCAAGAACUGGGGGCUUCUGCGAAGGCAUUCACAGAACCCUUACUUGAGAGAUGAACUCAUAGUUCCAUUAUACAAAAGGGGUAUACUUAAUAUACAUGGUAACAAAAAAUUGAUCAAAGGCAAAAGGGUGUGUUCUAUUUUAUUGCUCUUGGAUAUUAAUUCAAUCUCUUUUCAAUUUCAUAGGUCCGGGACAUAGUUAAAAUUUGUUGGAUGAAAUUGGUGUUUGAAAUGGAUUGGUGCCCCUGGUUCAUUGAGUGGCGAUUUGUUGAGAGUGUGUGGAAGAUAGUUAUGGGAGGAGGUGGGGGAGCUCCAGCUCCUAAGGUAGAUGAGCCAAACCCACACCCAGAAAAGGAUCUGCUAUCAGAUGUUUCUUAAUGGAAUGUUUCUCUUCCAUGGUGUAGCACAAGAGAGAAGAAGAAAGGUCGCAUUGGGACCAAUGCUUUCAUCCCUUUCUUCAGAGAGCCAAGUAGCAUUGGAGACUUUGAAAGGGGGAUCAACAAUUACUGGCAUUAAGGCCUUCCAAUCCUCUUAAGCGAUCCAAAAUUCCACCUUAUGUCCCUCCAAGAGCUACCUUGUGAUCUGGAGGAUCAGAGAUUUGUUUAGCAUGCUUCAAGUGCUCAAGACACUUCUUAUUUUCUCUGUUGAAAUGGCUUGCAGCCAUAAUUCUCAUCCUUACAUGUCCCACCCAAGCUUCCAAGUCAUCUACUCUAUCUCAUCCCCUAAAAGAUGAUGAUUUGGGGAAAAUAUCUCUACUGAUUGAAGGUGUCAGUAGCAAUAUAUGAAUUCUAUUACAUAUUAAACUGACAGAUUCUUACUAUGCUGCAACUUGUCAUGAAACUAGAGAGCAAAGGAGUUGGAAGGUGCUGACACUUGUAACUUAGUACUAGCAGUACUUCCGAACACAUUUUGUAACCUAAGUACUAGUUCUGUGAAGGCAAUCAAAGAAACCCUAUUUGAGAGAUGAACACAUAGUUCCACAUAAUAGUGUCUACUUCAUAUCCAAGGUCCUGGGCAUUGUUCUUAAAAUUUCAUGGAAGCAGUUGGUGUCUGAAAUGGAUUGGAACCCCUUCAUAGAGUGGCAAUUUUUUGUUGAGAGUGUGUGAAAGACAAUUGUGAAAGGAGGUGGGGGAGUUCCAGCAAAAUAGAUAAGCAUCAAGGCCUACGCAUCAACACUAACCUUUGUUCAAAUUCUUAUUAACAAAAACUAAUAACAUUAACCUUUGUUGAUAAAAAAAUUAUAUUGUUUAACCUUUUCAAGAAACUCAAAACUCCUGC